rnacentral:rRNA from 1 species
UGGGGAAUUUUGGACAAUGGGGGAAACCCUGAUCCAGCCAUCCCGCGUGUGCGAUGAAGGCCUUCGGGUUGUAAAGCACUUUUGGCAGGAAAGAAACGUCAUGGGUUAAUACCCCGUGCAACUGACGGUACCUGCAGAAUAAGCACCGGCUAACUACGUGCCAGCAGCCGCGGUAAUACGUAGGGUGCAAGCGUUAAUCGGAAUUACUGGGCGUAAAGCGUGCGCAGGCGGUUCGGAAAGAAAGAUGUGAAAUCCCAGAGCUCAACUUUGGAACUGCAUUUUUAACUACCGGGCUAGAGUGUGUCAGAGGGAGGUGGAAUUCCGCGUGUAGCAGUGAAAUGCGUAGAUAUGCGGAGGAACACCGAUGGCGAAGGCAGCCUCCUGGGAUAACACUGACGCUCAUGCACGAAGGCGUGGGGAGCAAACAGG